rnacentral:rRNA from 1 species
UACGAGGGGGGCAAGCGUUGUUCGGAAUUAUUGGGCGUAAAGGGUGCGUAGGUGGUUGUGUAAGUAACGUGUGAAAUCCCUCGGCUUACCCGGGGAAUUGCAUGUUAUACUGCAUGACUUGAGGACCAAAGGGGAAAAGGGAACUCCAGGUGUAGCGGUGAAAUGCGCAGAUAUCUGGGGGAAGGCCGGCGGCGAAGGCGCUUUUCUGGUUGGUACCUGACACUGAGGCACGAAAGCGUGGGGAGCAAACAGG